rnacentral:rRNA from 1 species
AAAGCUCGUAGUUGGAUUCAGAGGUGGGGUUGUGGGUCGGGUGUGGCCCGGCAGCUUGUCUCCGUGUGCCGCUCCCAAUCAACCCGCGUUUGCCCCAGCCUCCUAUCGCACGGAAACGGAGUCCUGCUGGGGUCUCCUUAACUGGGGGUUCCAGCGCUUCCGCGCACAACGUGCGCUUACGGACCGUCCGUGGACGUUACUGUGAACAAAACAGCGUGUUCAAAGCAAGUGGCUUGCCUGCCCUGCAUGUUAAAGCAUGGAAUAACAAGGCAUCGACCACUCGGCGGUGCUUUUGUUGGUCUUUCCCUCCCGGUGGGAAUGCGCAGGCGUGCACACUGCCGGCCUUCUGGCCGGUCUGGGUGCCGUCUCUUCGAGAUCAAUAGGGGCAAACGGGGAGAUACCUAUUGUGGGGAGAGCGGUGAAAUGCGAUGACCCCCAUAAGAGGAACUUCAGCGAAGGCAGUUCUCAAGACUGCCUUCGUUAAUCAAGAACGAGACUGUGGGGAUCAGAGAUGAUCAGAUACCGUCGUAGUCCACUAGCGUAAACGAUGCCGACUCAUCAUUGGGGG